CUACCACGAACGGAAGCUGAUAGAGCAAUAUCUAUUCAUAUGCUUCGUAAUCCUUGAUUUCCCAAAGAUAAGAUUCCUUGCCAAGCCAAGACUACAGGGAAGUCGGCGACCGAAGCCCCGGUGAACGGUGGCCGUAACUAUAACGGUCCUAAGGUAGCGAAAUUCUUUGUCGGGUAAGUUCCGACUCGCACAAAAG
rnacentral:ncRNA from 1 species